rnacentral:tRNA from 1 species
UCCCUGGUAGCUCAGUGGUAGAGAAUCUGCCUGCCAAUGCAGGAGACACAGGUUUGAUCCCUGAGUUGGGAA